rnacentral:rRNA from 1 species
UACGAAGGGGGCUAGCGUUGCUCGGAAUUACUGGGCGUAAAGGGCGCGUAGGCGGCACUGUUAGUCAGGCGUGAAAGUCCUGGGCUCAACCUGGGAACUGCGCUUGAUACGGCAGAGCUAGAGGAUGGAAGAGGGUCGCGGAAUUCCCAGUGUAGAGGUGAAAUUCGUAGAUAUUGGGAAGAACACCGGCGGCGAAGGCGGCGACCUGGUCCAUUACUGACGCUGAGGCGCGACAGCGUGGGGAGCAAACAGG